CCCUUCUCAGGAUUGCACCCGGAGAGUUUCCAGUCCUCUACCAGUCUCGGCUACGGGAGGGAGAGUCAAGCAGAGGCCUACCCAUUCCGUUCCUAGCUUGGCCAGUGGCUAGCGAGUGGAAGGCAAUCUGCGACAAGU
rnacentral:snoRNA from 1 species